rnacentral:rRNA from 1 species
GAUGAACGCUGGCGGCGUGCCUAAUACAUGCAAGUCGAGCGAACGGACGUGAAGCUUGCUUCUGGCAUGUGGGCGGGUGACGGGUGAGUAACACGUCGAUAACCUACCUUUAAGACUCGGAAAACGUCGUGAAACCGCAUCUAAUCUCGGAUGAUAUGUUGAACCGCGUGGUUCAUCAGUCAAAUACGGUCUUGCUGUUCCUUAUAGAUGGUUCGUCGCUUCAUUAGCUAGUUGGUAAGGUAACGGCUUACCAAGGCAACGAUGCAUAGCCGACCUGAGAGGAUGAUCGGCCACACUGGAACUGAGACACGGUCCAGACUCCUACGGGAGGCAGCAGUAGGGAAUCUUGGGCAAUGGGCGAAAGCCUGAUGCAGCCAUGCCGCGUGAGUGAAGAAGGUCUUCGGAUUGUAAACCGCUGUUAUCAGGGAAGAAAAUCUGUGUAAGUAAAUCUCGACAGCAUGACGGUACCUAAAGAAAAAGCACCGGCUAACUACGUG